GUGGGGAAUAUUGGACAAUGGGCGCAAGCCUGAUCCAGCCAUGCCGCGUGGGUGAAGAAGGCCUUCGGGUUGUAAAGCCCUUUUGUCCGGAAAGAAAAGCACUGGAUUAAUACUUCGGUGUACUGACGGUACCGGAAGAAUAAGCACCGGCUAACUUCGUGCCAGCAGCCGCGGUAAUACGAAGGGUGCAAGCGUUACUCGGAAUUACUGGGCGUAAAGCGUGCGUAGGUGGUUCGUUAAGUCUGAUGUGAAAGCCCUGGGCUCAACCUGGGAAUUGCAUUGGAUACUGGCGGGCUAGAGUGCGGUAGAGGAUGGCGGAAUUCCCGGUGUAGCAGUGAAAUGCGUAGAGAUCGGGAGGAACAUCUGUGGCGAAGGCGGCCAUCUGGACCAGCACUGACACUGAGGCACGAAAGCGUGGGGAGCAAACAGGAUUAGAAACCCUGGUAGUCC
rnacentral:rRNA from 1 species